rnacentral:rRNA from 1 species
AUUGAACGCUGGCGGCAUGCCUUACACAUGCAAGUCGAACGGUAACAGGUUAAGCUGACGAGUGGCGAACGGGUGAGUAAUAUAUCGGAACGUGCCCAGUCGUGGGGGAUAACGUAGCGAAAGCUACGCUAAUACCGCAUACGAUCUACGGAUGAAAGCGGGGGAUCGCAAGACCUCGCGCGAUUGGAGCGGCCGAUAUCAGAUUAGGUUGUUGGUGAGGUAAAAGCUCACCAAGCCUGCGAUCUGUAGCUGGUCUGAGAGGACGACCAGCCACACUGGAACUGAGACACAGUCCAGACUCCUACGGGAGGCAGCAGUGGGGAAUUUUGGACAAUGGACGCAAGUCUGAUCCAGCAACGCCGCGUGCAGGACGAAGGCCUUCGGGUUGUAAACUGCUUUUGUACGGAACGAAACGGUGAGCUCUAAUACAGUUUGCUAAUGACGGUACCGUAAGAAUAAGCACCGGCUAACUACGUGCCAGCCGCCGCGGUAA